UACGUAGGCAGCGAGCGUUGUUCGGAGUUACUGGGCGUAAAGGGUGUGUAGGCGGUUGUUUAAGUUUGGUGUGAAAUCUCCCGGCUCAACUGGGAGGGUGCGCCCGAAUACUGAAUGACUUGGAGUGCGGGAGAGGAAAGUGGAAUUCCUGGUGUAGCGGUGAAAUGCGUAGAUAUCAGGAGGAACACCGGUGGUGUAGACGGCUUCUGGACCGUAACUGACGCUGAGACACGAAAGCGUGGGUAGCAAACAGG
rnacentral:rRNA from 1 species